GGAAGUGUGCCCGAAAGAUAAGGACCUCCUUGAUAGGGAGGAUAAUAGGGGUU
rnacentral:tRNA from 2 species